rnacentral:sRNA from 1 species
AGCGAGUCGCGGCACUCGUAAAGUGUUC